AAGACUAUACUUUCAGGGACCAUCUAUGAACUUCAUUACUAGAGAAACUUCUGUGAACAUGUAAAGUACCUAAAACCAGGAGGCUGAGAUGCAGUGUUCUCUCCUGAGCACAAAGCAAGCUCUUUCUGCGCCUAUGCUGCCACAGACUUCUGCCAUUGUUGAUCUUUCUUCUUUCCCCUUGGGAGAGCUAAAGAAAACAGAAUAUGAAAGACUUUCUACUUG
rnacentral:snoRNA from 1 species